rnacentral:rRNA from 1 species
UACGUAGGUGGCAAGCGUUAUCCGGAAUUAUUGGGCGUAAAGAGCGCGCAGGUGGUUGAUUAAGUCUGGUGUGAAAGCCCACGGCUUAACCGUGGAGGGUCAUUGGAAACUGGUCGACUUGAGUGCAGAAGAGGGAAGUGGAAUUCCAUGUGUAGCGGUGAAAUGCGUAGAGAUAUGGAGGAACACCAGUGGCGAAGGCGGCUUCCUGGUCUGUAACUGACACUGAGGCGCGAAAGCGUGGGGAGCAAACAGGAUUAGAUACCCCUGUA